CAAAGAAUCAGACUUUUCCAUUUCUGUUCUUUUAUUUCUUUCUCUAGAUAGAGCUAUUUUCUUUCUAAGAAGAUGCUUUGUCUUCUCUCUAGAAUCUUCCAACACUGAACCGUUUGAGUUGUAUCCUAAAGGUAUCUAAACGUUCGCGGUGCCAAGAGCUAUCCUUUGAACCGAACAGUUUUCUUGUUCGUACCCGGGUCGGUGAGCAUACUGCCGUAUGGGUCGCUGUUAGAGCACCUUGGGUACACUGUUCAGCGCAACCCAUAGAUGGUGAGGAGAUACUUUGGAAACAACUCUUUGAUGGGAGAAGAUGGUGAGGAGAUACUUUGGAAACAACUCUUGAUCGGGAAGGAAAUGCUGCUGCUUAGUUCUCUAAGCUUUAACUAUGUUAUCCUAGGAUAUUUUGAGGAAACUUGUCAUGUUCUAAGUUUUAAACUCUUUGUAAUUUAAGGGAGAAACUUUAGUUCUUCAAGUUUUCCAAAUUGUACAGUUUAAGGAUGACUGUAAUCCUUUAUACUUUAAUCACUCUUCACUGUUUUCCUUUAUUAUAAAUGAUG